UGGGGAAUAUUGGACAAUGGGGGGAACCCUGAUCCAGCCAUGCCGCGUGUGUGAAGAAGGCCUUAUGGUUGUAAAGCACUUUAAGCGAGGAGGAGGGUACUGGUAUUAAUACUACCAGCUACUGGACGUUACUCGCAGAAUAAGCACCGGCUAACUCUGUGCCAGCAGCCGCGGUAAUACAGAGGGUGCGAGCGUUAAUCGGAUUUACUGGGCGUAAAGCGUGCGUAGGCGGCUAAUUGAGUCGGAUGUGAAAUCCCCGAGCUUAACUUGGGAAUUGCAUUCGAUACUGGUUAGCUAGAGUGUGGGAGAGGAUGGUAGAAUUCCAGGUGUAGCGGUGAAAUGCGUAGAGAUCUGGAGGAAUACCGAUGGCGAAGGCAGCCAUCUGGCCUAACACUGACGCUGAGGUACGAAAGCAUGGGGAGCAAACAGGAUUAGAUACCCUGGUAGUCCAUGCCGUAAACGAUGUCUACUAGCCGUUGGUCUCUUUGAGGGAUUAGUGGCGCAGCUAACGCGAUAAGUAGACCGCCUGGG
rnacentral:rRNA from 1 species